rnacentral:rRNA from 1 species
CAAGUCGAGCGGAUGAGAAGAGCUUGCUCUUCGAUUCAGCGGCGGACGGGUGAGUAAUGCCUAGGAAUCUGCCUGGUAGUGGGGGACAACGUUUCGAAAGGAACGCUAAUACCGCAUACGUCCUACGGGAGAAAGCAGGGGACCUUCGGGCCUUGCGCUAUCAGAUGAGCCUAGGUCGGAUUAGCUAGUUGGUGAGGUAAUGGCUCACCAAGGCGACGAUCCGUAACUGGUCUGAGAGGAUGAUCAGUCACACUGGAACUGAGACACGGUCCAGACUCCUACGGGAGGCAGCAGUGGGGAAUAUUGGACAAUGGGCGAAAGCCUGAUCCAGCCAUGCCGCGUGUGUGAAGAAGGUCUUCGGAUUGUAAAGCACUUUAAGUUGGGAGGAAGGGCAUUAACCUAAUACGUUAGUGUUUUGACGUUACCGACAGAAUAAGCACCGGCUAACUCUGUGCCAGCAGCCGCGGUAAUACAGAGGGUGCAAGCGUUAAUCGGAAUUACUGGGCGUAAAGCGCGCGUAGGUGGUUUGUUAAGUUGGAUGUGAAAGCCCCGGGCUCAACCUGGGAACUGCAUCCAAAACUGGCAGGCUAGAGUACGGUAGAGGGUGGUGGAAUUUCCUGUGUAGCGGUGAAAUGCGUAGAUAUAGGAAGGAAUACCAGUGGCGAAGGCGACCACCUGGACUGAUACUGACACUGAGGUGCGAAAGCGUGGGGAG